UCCUGGCUGGCCCAGUUGGAAGAGCAUGCGAUUCUUGAUCUCAGGGUUGUGAGUUCAAGCCUCACGUUGGGUG
rnacentral:tRNA from 1 species